ensembl:lncRNA
GAAAUCUUUCUUUUUUUAGAUCAGGUUAAAUUCAAAAUACCAUUUGACAUACCAAUGCCUUUUUCUUUUGAUACUGCAUGAUAUAAAACAAUGUGAGCUAGUAAAGGCUGGGAUGCAAACCAACCAAACUGUCCUUGAGGUUAAGUGCAGAAUUCCUCUCUAUUCUUUACAGCUCACGGAGAUGCCACAGAGGCAAGAAGUCGUUUCUAUCUUGUGUUGUUAUAUGACUGCAAUUUUCCUUGUGCUAACUGCCAUAGUUAAUGGCUAACAUUUAUAACCAAGCAGUUUAUUCCACAGCUGGAGAAGUAAAUCCAGCCAAAAAUAAAAAUCUGGAUUUGUGCAGAAAGUGCUUAGCCAAGCCCCACACUUCACUUGAAGAGGUCCUCAAAUGAGAGGCUGCUCAGUUUGAAAAAUACUGCUGAAAUUCGAAUACAUCAAAGAUGAAAUCAAAAACCUCCAAAAGAAAGGCUUAUCAUCAUUGUGUGCUGAAUCACACUAUAAACAUGGACUUUGAAACAUCUUUUUCUGAAACUUAGAGGGACUCAGAGCAGCACAAGUAUUUUGUCUCAGUGGAAAUUAUGGAACUGCAGGUUAAGCAGCUCUAUGAAGUUCUGGAUCCCUUCUGAAAACCAGCUCCCAGAAGAUGAAUACUGUCAGCAUAACAAAGUUUCUUCAGAUAAUUUACAAUUACAGUGAAUUAGAGUUAGAGACACUGGAGUUCAUCAUAUAUAUACAUAUUUAUGUAUGUAUGUAUAUGUGAGUCUGUGUUUAGUGUCUUUUCUAAAAAUGUUUGUUCUUUCACUGACAGCUCUUAUUUUAAAAUCACUCACAAUAAAUAAUAGCCAUUUAUUACAGUGGAGGCCUAGAUCCUGAAAGUCUCAUUCAGUUAAAUCUCAUUCACUAUUUUAAAUAUUGCUUCAGUCCACAUGCUUUCCUCCACUUCCUUCUUCAUCAUCACUGCAGACAACAAUCACCAUGAAUGUUUUUUAUACAUAAUGGGGUUUUUUUAAUAUUAUUUUGAAUUAUUACAGAAUAAGCAUACCUCCCUCCAAUGUUGUCAGCAUGCUUUCCUUACAUCUCUACUCAAGCAUAGGGGAUUCUCACCACCAUAAUGUUCCCUUUAAGAGAUGAAAUGCAGAUUGCCACCUAAAAGCCAGAGCCAUUUUCAAGGGCUGCAUCUGCUAACUCUUUGUUAAACGCUGUCCCUAAAAAAGACCAAAGGAUCUCCUAAGGAAAUUUCCUACAUAGAAACCAUGCUAAUCAUGCUCUAGACAUCAUUAAGCUUGAUUAUGGACUUAUAUAAUUAAUAAAUUAAAAUACAACAUAGCAUGAUGAUAUGUCAAAUGCUUAUUUUGUUCAAUGCCAACAGAUGUGGAGAUUAAAGGUAUACACACAUUUUGGGAAGAUGAACUGGCAGACAUGCACACAAUAUUCGACUUUACAGGUAGCUAUUUGAUUUUUUGGCAUGCCAAAAAUUUUCUUCUGUUGUCUCCAGUAAUGAGGCUUAUUACUGGAGCUCUUAGCAUCAGGCCUUUGCUUCUGAGAAGAUCCUGCCCAUGCACCAGUUGUAGAACAUGCUUGAAAAUAGAGAAGUUGCAGGAAAAAAAAAGGGUGUAGACAUGAUAUUAAGAGAUGUAGGCAGCAGAUCAGUGUCUGAACAAAGCAAUAAAGCUGGAUUGGCAAGGUGAAGAUGUACUUGACAUUGAUCUCCUGCCAAAAUUUUGACGUGGCAUAGGAUCAACACUGAACAAGGUCAUGAAGCAACUUGAAUUUUAUCGACAUGAAUCUUAACCAGGCAGGGACAACAGGUCUCCUUCAGAUGAAUUAUAAUUGACUUUGAAAAUUGGAAGAAUAACUAGGUUCAGAAGAUGACAUGAAACAUUUAACCUUUUAAUUGCUGAUUAGAACUUGCCGCAGAGGUGAUCAAAUUCCAUUAUCUUCAGAAGUUUCUGAAAAGAGCUUUUGUGAUUUAUUUUGUUGCAGACCGACUGGAUAUAUUUCCGUAUAAGUUAGUUUCCGAAUUAUCAAGCCAGCAAGCAUUUACUCUAAUUAUUUAUUCAUUCCCGGAGAACUUCUACAUCACUGUUUGCACUGAAUAUGAAUAAUCUUGUGAUUGUUUGAUUAAGAUGUAGCUGCAUGUGGAAAUCAAUGAUACUGUAAGAUACAGUCAUGGAACAGCAGCCAAACAGUUCCUGUGAAUUUGUUUUGGGAGUCUAAAAAAAAAAAAAAAAAGUAAAACAACAAUACCUUAUGCACAAUUUUGAAUGAUAAUUAUGUAAUUAUGUAGUAUAUUGCAUGUCCACAUCCUAGAAAUCACAUUGAAGCAGCAUCCAUUUUACAUCUGUAAGUAGAUUUACAUCAGUGGAAUUAAAAUUUUCCAAUGUUGCACUCAUGUUAAUAAACAAACACCAUUUAGUUACUGAGCACUACAAUUUUAAAAGAGAUUACAUCACCUCAAAGUGUAAAUCCCUCUGAUUGUCAUCCAGACUUAAUAACCUCAGUAACCCAGACAAUCCCAUGAUCUAGCAUUAAAUUCAUGUCAAAUCAUAAGCAAACAUAAGACAGCAAAUAUUAUAAAGAUAUAUUAAAUCUUCCCCAGUCAGCAAAUAAAUCUCUAUCAUCUUCAAAAAGGCCUGUUUUCAAAUGUAAAUACUGCAAUUGUGUCACUGUUGACAGGAAGAAGGCAAAUGAUCAGUCAGUCUACUUACUAAUUACGUUUAUUUUUACAAUGCAAUUAUAGAUUACAAUUCUGUGUUGAAUGAAAUUAGAAAGCAUUAUAAGUAUCACCAUGGUAAAACUAAAAUAGGUCUUUUCAGCCAAUUACAUUUUUCCAUGUAAGAAAUUUUGAUUUCAACAGCUCAUUUUAUAGAAUUGAGAGAUCACAAGAAUGAAUGCUGUUUUUCUGAUAUCCACAUGCGCUACUACGUUAUUGAUUUUAUUGACAACAAAGAAACCCUACGGUUUAUAAGCUCACAUACAGCAUUUUGCUUUUUGCAGAGAUAACAAUUUUCUUUCUUCUUGAAAGCAUCAGUAAGGUCCUAAAAUAUUACAGGAAAUAAGUUGCUUGUUACACCUAAAAGCAUACGGCCUAACAGAAAUUCUCAAAACAAGGUUGUGGGGAAAAUGCAGUGUUGCAUAUAUUCUUUCCUUUGGCAUUACCACAGUUUUAGAUUUUCCUGCCCAAGCAAAAUUUCCUGCAUUGUUAGCUCAGAUAACCAGAGGAUGUACUUUGAUUUGCUUUCUAAUCCAGUUUUUAAUUAAUGUAAAACCUUUUGAGGAGAGAUCUUCUGUGUUUGUUUUCAUCCUGAAGUUUAACAUUUCAGAAAAGAUCAGGGAUCACAUAUCCUACCUUUUUUUUUUUUUUUUUUUUUCUGUU